rnacentral:rRNA from 1 species
AGUGAACGCUGGCGGCGUGCUUAACACAUGCAAGUCGAACGAGAACGGGAUAUAGCCUGCUAUAUUUGUCAGCUAAGUGGCGCACGGGUGAGUAAUGUAUAGGUAAUAUGCCUCUUACUAAGGGAUAACAAUUGGAAACGAUUGCUAAUACCUUAUAUGCCUUUAAGACUAAAGUCUGAAAGGGAAAGAUUUAUUGGUAAGAGAUUAGCCUGUAUUGUAUCAGCUAGUUGGUGAGGUAAUGGCUCACCAAGGCUAUGACGCAUAACUGGUUUGAGAGGAUGAUCAGUCACACUGGAACUGAGACACGGUCCAGACUCCUACGGGAGGCAGCAGUGGGGAAUAUUGCACAAUGGACGAAAGUCUGAUGCAGCAACGCCGCGUGGAGGAUGACACAUUUCGGUGCGUAAACUCCUUUUAUAUAGGAAGAUAAUGACGGUACUAUAUGAAUAAGCACCGGCUAACUCCGUGCCAGCAGCCGCGGUAA